AUUUCAACCCAAUUGGAUUAAAUAAGGAUUUAAUCCAAUCUUUAUGUAUUUUAUUUAUUGAUUCAUUUAUUUAUUUUUUCCUUCCAGAUUACCCUUACGAGAAUUUCCAGUACAAUGAUAAAUAGGAGUGAUGACAGCAGUCAUCCUUGCCUUAUUCCCUACAGCAAAGUAGGGGGAAAGCUUUCAGUCUUUCAUCAUUAAGUAUGGCGUCAGCUUUAGGUUUUUCGUGACUUUCUUUUAUCAGGGCAAGGAAGUUUCUUUUUAUUUCUUAUUUGUUGAUAGUUUUCUUUUAAAUUCACAGAUGGAUCUUAGAUUUUGUCAAGUGAUGUUCAUGCAUUUAUUUAUUUAUUUUUUAAGAGAUGGGGUCUCUCUAUGUUGCCCAGGCUGGAGUGCAGUGGCUAUUCACAGGUGCGAUCCCACUACUGAUCAGCACGGGAGUUUUGACCUGCUCCGUUUCCCACCUGGGCUAAUUUUUGUAUUUUUUAGUAGAGACGAGGGUUUCACCAUGUUGGCCAGGCUGGUCUUGAAUUCCUCACCUCAGGUGAUCCAUCCACCUUGGCCUUCAAUCCCAGAUUCUGAACACUUUAGUCUUUUCCUUUACAUUUCCAGUGCAAUCACCCAGGCCUAACACAUUUUU
rnacentral:lncRNA from 1 species